UAACGCUGGCGCUGAAUUUGUCUUCGGUGAGACAUACGCAGACCACUUCUUUGCAUUUAAGGUCCUGCCAAUCGUGAUUUUCUUCAGCACCGUAAUGUCCAUGCUCUACUACCUUGGAUUGAUGCAGUGGAUCAUUAGAAAGGUUGGAUGGGUAAUGCUCGUUACUAUGGGAUCAUCUCCUAUUGAAUCCGUAGUUG